rnacentral:rRNA from 1 species
AGUGGGGAAUCUUAGACAAUGGGCGCAAGCCUGAUCUAGCGAUGCCGCGUGAGUGAAGAAGGCCCUAGGGUCGUAAAGCUCUUUCGCCAGGGAUGAUAAUGACAGUACCUGGUAAAGAAACCCCGGCUAACUCCGUGCCAGCAGCCGCGGUAAUACGGAGGGGGUUAGCGUUGUUCGGAAUUACUGGGCGUAAAGCGUACGUAGGCGGACUAGUCAGUCAGAGGUGAAAUCCCAGGGCUCAACCCUGGAACUGCCUUUGAUACUGCUAGUCUUGAGUUCGAGAGAGGUGAGUGGAAUUCCGAGUGUAGAGGUGAAAUUCGUAGAUAUUCGGAGGAACACCAGUGGCGAAGGCGGCUCACUGGCUCGAUACUGACGCUGAGGUACGAAAGUGUGGGGAGCAAA